AGAAAAAAAAAAAAAAAAUCAAUCCAUGCUAGCGCCAGCUAAGCGCCAGCAGCAAGGGUCUUCCCCCACCCACCAUGGCUACCUCCCAAGCAGAGGUCCACCCAGUUUUCCAGGGUUUGCAUUUUCCAAGCCGUCCGUCCCCUGCAGCUAGUUGUCACAAAUCCCCAUAACCCAGUAAAUGAAAACUCCAGAGGCUUAUAAUUUAUCAGCCAGAUUUAUAAUAGUAAAUCCUCAACCCCCAAAACGCCCACACAAAGAACUCAAAACUCUAUUGAUACUGAUACGAGCUGCUCACCUAGAUGGGGCAAAUGUACCCUACAUUACUCUAUUGUCCCUCUAUGAUAUCCAUAGCUGCCUGUGGCUUUUUCAGGCCACGUGGAUCUGGUUCAUCAUCCUCUCCUAUAGGUUCCAUCUUGUCUUCUCGUGUCCCGACCCCCCUCCCCAAUGCCCCCCCCAACCGUCUCUUCUCUAAAACUUUCAGCCACGCCUUCUUUUUCCAUUGUCCAAUCACAGUCUUCUAUUUCACCUGCACAGACAGCAAUCUACAACGAAUCAGCAGCGGUGCCUGGCGUUGCCUAGCAGAGACAGCCAGGCCUCGGCUGAGUUAUCUGAGUCUCCUCUCCCCAGUCUCAGGCGUACAUCCCAUCUCACCCCAACUGUUUUCUGAACGCUAACCCAUGAAGAACUAAAGAGCUGAGGACAGAAAGGCAUGGGGCUCCCAGCGCUUAGGAAAUGGAGGCUUGAGGACCAGUUAAAGUUAAAGGCCAUUCUCUGCUACACGGUGACUUUAAGGUAAACGUGAUGCUUCCUGUUUGGCCUACUUCUCUGCAUACAACCCAACCAACAGCCUAGCACCGGUGCCUGGCAUUUCAGACUCUGUCCGACUGGCCAUGGGAAUGCACAUCUGUAAUUCUAGUCCUUGGAAAGAGAAGCAGAAGAAUCACUACAGGUAUAGCACAGCCGAGGGACACUACAUCUUUAAGUCACUUAACGAGCACAGGUGUGACAACUGCCAUCUUCUACAGAACUGAGAAAGCAAGGACACAGCAGCCACAGAAACCCUGCAAUCUCAGCCCUGGAGAUGGAAGCAAAGUGAACAUGUGAGGCCCGCCUGGGUGUAUCAUACCUCGUCC
rnacentral:sRNA from 1 species